GAUGAACGCUGGCGGCGUGCCUAAUACAUGCAAGUCGAGCGAACGGACGAGAAGCUUGCUUCUCUGAUGUUAGCGGCGGACGGGUGAGUAACACGUGGAUAACCUACCUAUAAGACUGGGAUAACUUCGGGAAACCGGAGCUAAUACCGGAUGAUAUUUUGAACCGCAUGGUUCAAAAGUGAAAGACGGUCUUGCUGUCACUUAUAGAUGGAUCCGCGCUGCAUUAGCUAGUUGGUAAGGUAACGGCUUACCAAGGCAACGAUGCAUAGCCGACCUGAGAGGGUGAUCGGCCACACUGGAACUGAGACACGGUCCAGACUCCUAAGGGAGGCAGCAGUAGGGAAUCUGCCGCAAUGGGCGAAAGCCUGACGGAGCAACGCCGCGUGAGUGAUGAAGGUCUUCGGAUCGUAAAACUCUGUUAUUAGGGAAGAACAUAUGUGUAAGUAACUGUGCACAUCUUGACGGUACCUAAUCAGAAAGCCACGGCUAACUACGUG
rnacentral:rRNA from 1 species